AUGAUCACCAGAGUUCAUCAAAGAGUAAAUUCUAAUGGUAGCGGUGCACGAAAUGGUCAAACUUCAAAUGAACCUCAUAGUGACACCCAUGCUAAUCUGCAACCGAAUCCUCAGCCACCUCAAGCACGUGAAGCAGGUAAUCUGGGACAUCCUGUCGAGGUCAAUGUGGGGAACAGUUCUCAGGCUUCCCAUGGUCAGCAGAAUGGCCAGGGUCCUUUUUCUCAGUUGGUGGACAGUCUCCAGUGGAUUGGAUCACUGUUUUCUGGAGAAAAUCCCCCAGCAAACGUUUCAAGUCAGCAUGCACCAGCGGCUUCUGCUGAGCCGGUAGAUGCUAGAACAGUGGCCAGCGACGAGGGGAUACGCUUUGCUAACUUGGUCAGGCAAAUUAUGCCACAUAUCUCCCAGGUUGAAAACCAGUCUCAAAGCACCCCAGCAGACACCAGCAGUACUCCUUCACAGGCUGCCGUGCCUGAGAGCGCAAACGGUUCAAGGGAUGGGCCAAGUGAUUCCAGGAAUUCACGUCAACAUAGCCGUGACCCAGUUGAAGGCCCUAAUUCUAAAAGGCAAAGGAGAAUGAGUGAGUGA
rnacentral:rRNA from 1 species